CUUGUCUGAUAGGCUCGCUCUUAACGGCUAUACCCCUUCUUAUAUUGUCAUAAUAAAAAAAAGACCUACAAUAUCGUUUUUGAGAACAGUGAUUAUUCGUAUAAAGUUAGCCUCGAUGAAUUUUAUUUGUCGUAUACAGCAGAGGCCUUUACUAUUAAGGCUGCUUUAGAUUAUGUUUUGAAUCAAGACUCUAAAAAAAACCCACGGAUUUGAUAUUUUCUCCGAUUGUAAAUCUGUUUUGGAGGCUAUUAGAAAUAAUCAGCUUAACAUUUGUGCCGUCUCGUAUUGGCAUUAAAGGUAAUGAAGUAGCUGAUUCACUGGCCAAGGAAGCUGCAUCAAAGAGGAAGAUAAGAAUUUAUAUAUACCGAUAUGAGAUUUAAGAAGAAUGUUUAAGUCAGAAACAUGGAAAUAUAUUCAGGAUACAAUAAGGAGGCAGUGUAGUAAAAUAAAAUUUGAUUUUGAUAAUUAUUAUAUGAAUAAAAUGAAACCUUGGUUUUGUGAAUUAAAUGCGGAGCAGUA